UCGUUGAAAUUUGAACAAUAAGAUUUUCCUUUGUAUGAUUGCAGGGUUCUGCUCUUCUUUGGUACAAUUUUCAUGAAAACGGUACAGCAAAUGAAGUUACCAGGCAUGCGGAUUGUCCUGUUUUGGUUGGCUCUAAGUGGGUUGCAAGCAAACGGCUCUAUGCUCAUGGCAAUGAAUUUAUUCGAAAAUUUUCUACGAAUCAACUUGAAUGAUGUUUUUUUAUUUUUUUAUCUAGUAGGAAAUUUUCCCUCCAUAAACGAUGUCCUCACUUCUUAUCAAUAUUUCAAUUCCUUAUUUUUUUCCCUUCCUUGUUACUAAUCUUCACAAUUGAUCAGAUCUCUUACUAUAUCUUACUAUAUAUAUAGUCUUACUCUAGACUAUAUUACAUUUGCAAAUAUACGUAAUACUUAUGAGCAUACCAACAAUAAUCACCGCGCGUGUAUUUAUUUUUAAAUUGAAGCGAGGGAAAGACAAUGCAAAUAAAUUGUAUAAAAUUAAAUUAUCUGCUGUAUUAUAAAUGUUACUAUUCGAAACAAAUAUGCAUGUUGUCAAACUUCUUGAUAUCCAAUUCCACCCCUCUACUCAUAGAUUAAACUAACCCUCCCUACCUUCGAAGCGGGACAUCAUUUGUGGACAGUCCCUAACAUUAUUUCGUCAUCCAUUAAUAAAUAAAACUGAUUCAUCCAUAAAA